GAUGCGGAGAAGGGUUUCGUGUGAACAGCCGUUGCACACGAGUCAGUCGAUCCUAAGCCCUAGGGGAAACCCAAUGUAUGCUGGCCUCUGGCCGCAUCGGGCGAAAGAGAAUCCGGUCCCCAUUCCGGAACCCGGUCGCGGAACCGUCUCACGUCGGGCCCCGCCUUUUAGGCGACAGCUCGUCGGGGUAACCCAACUUAACCCGGAGAAGCCGUCGGGAGGUCGGGGAAGAGUUUUCUUUUCUGUUUGAGCGUUCGGGUUCCCUGGAAUUGCUUAGCGCAGAGAGAGGGAAUGGAACGCGUAGAGCACCGCAGUUGCGGCGGUGUCCCGACAUGCCCUUCGGACCUUGAAAAUCCGGGGACGGGCCACGUGGAGGUCUCGCGCCGGUUCGUACCCAUAUCCGCAGCAGGUCUCCAAGGUGAAGAGCCUCUAGCCGAUAGAUGAAUGUAGGUAAGGGAAGUCGGCAACUUGGAUCCGUAACUUCGGAAUAAGGAU
rnacentral:rRNA from 1 species